rnacentral:rRNA from 1 species
GACGAACGCUGGCGGCGUGCUUAACACAUGCAAGUCGAACGGAAAGGCCCAGCUUGCUGGGUACUCGAGUGGCGAACGGGUGAGUAACACGUGGGUGACCUGCCUCAUACUCUGGGAUAAGCCUGGGAAACUGGGUCUAAUACUGGAUAGGACCUUUUGUUGCAUGACUUUAGGUGGAAAGCUUUUGCGGUAUGAGAUGGGCCCGCGGCCUAUCAGCUUGUUGGUGAGGUAAUGGCUCACCAAGGCGACGAUCGGUAGCUGGUCUGAGAGGAUGAUCAGCCACACUGGGACUGAGACACGGCCCAGACUCCUACGGGAGGCAGCAGUGGGGAAUAUUGGACAAUGGGCGAAAGACCUGAUCCAGCCAUGCCGCGUGAGUGAUGAAGGCCCUAGGGUUGUAAAGCUCUUUCGCCAGGGACGAUAAUGACGGUACCUGGAUAAGAA